CUAUGUAGCCCAGGCUGGCCUCAAGCUGCAGACCUUCCAGCCUCAGCCACCGGAGGACUGGAAUGACCACACCAGGCUCAACUAGGAAAACGGAGUCUACCCUAACAUUUGACCGAAGAUUGUGGUCCCCACCUGGAAAAAUGGGGCACAGUCUCCCGUUCAGGGACACAAGGCGGCAGCAUGAUCCUCAGGAUACCUGAGCCACCUGGUCCCCUGCCCAAGAAGCACAUCCAAGAAUGUGGGACCACUGGGCUCGGGACAACCGGAAAGCCAUGUGCCUUCAUCUUAGCUCUGCCCCAAAUGACGCUAGGUUCCAAUGGCAAUCACGCACAUCUGAACACCAGCUUCGGGGCCGACGAGAGGGCUCAGC
rnacentral:sRNA from 1 species